UAAUACGGAGGAUCCAAGCGUUAUCCGGAUUUAUUGGGUUUAAAGGGUGCGUAGGCGGAUCUUUAAGUCAGUGGUGAAAGUUUGCGGCUCAACCGUAAAAUUGCCAUUGAAACUGAAGAUCUUGAGUGUAAAUGAGGUAGGCGGAAUGUGUUGUGUAGCGGUGAAAUGCUUAGAUAUAACACAGAACACCAAUUGCGAAGGCAGCUUACUGGGAUACAACUGACGCUGAGGCACGAAAGCGUGGGGAUCAAACAGG
rnacentral:rRNA from 1 species